UACGUAGGGGGCAAGCGUUGUCCGGAAUCAUUGGGCGUAAAGAGCGUGUAGGCGGCCCGGUAAGUCCGCCGUGAAAGUCCAGGGCUCAACCCUGGGAUGCCGGUGGAAACUGUCGGGCUCGAGUCCGGAAGAGGCGAGUGGAAUUCCUGGUGUAGCGGUGAAAUGCGCAGAUAUCAGGAGGAACACCGGUGGCGAAGGCGGUUCUCUGGGCCUGACCUGACGCUGAGGAGCGAAAGCGUGGGGAGCGAACAGG
rnacentral:rRNA from 1 species